rnacentral:rRNA from 1 species
UACGUAGGUGGCAAGCGUUGUCCGGAAUUAUUGGGCGUAAAGCGCGCGCAGGCGGCCUCUUAAGUCUGAUGUGAAAGCCCCCGGCUCAACCGGGGAGGGCCAUUGGAAACUGGGAGGCUUGAGUAUAGGAGAGAAGAGUGGAAUUCCACGUGUAGCGGUGAAAUGACGUAGAGAUGUGGAGGAACACCAGUGGCGAAGGCGACUCUUUGGCCUAUAACUGACGCUGAGGCGCAAAAGCGUGGGGAGCAAACAGG